AUUGAACGCUGGCGGCAGGCUUAACACAUGCAAGUCGAGCGGGGGAAGGUAGCUUGCUACCGGACCUAGCGGCGGACGGGUGCGUAAUGCUUAGGAAUCUGCCUAUUAGUGGGGGACAACAUCUCGAAAGGGAUGCUAAUACCGCAUACGUCCUACGGGAGAAAGCAGGGGAUCUUCGGACCUUGCUCUAAUAGAUGAGCCCAAGUAGGAUUAGCUAGUUGGUGGGGUAAAGGCCUACCAAGGCGACGAUCUGAAGCGGGUCGGAGAGGAUGAGCCGCCACACUGGGACUGAGACACGGCCCAGACUCCUAGGGGAGGCAGCAGUGGGGAAUAUUGGACAAUGGGGGAAACCCUGAUCCAGCCAUGCCGCGUGUGUGAAGAAGGCCUUAUGGUUGUAAAGCACUUUAAGCGAGGAGGAGGCUACUUUAGUUAAUACCUAGAGAUAGUGGACGUAACUCGCAGAAUAAGCACCGGCUAACUCUGUGCCAGCCGCCGCGGUAA
rnacentral:rRNA from 1 species